rnacentral:tRNA from 1 species
GGGACUGUAGCUUAGUGGUAGAGUGCUUGCCUAGCAUGCAUGAAGCCCUGGGUUCAAUUCCUCAGUACCA